rnacentral:hammerhead_ribozyme from 1 species
GCACUGUUGACGAGUCCCAAACAGCACGAAACAGCUGUCCAGUGC